CCGUAACGGCCUCGACCUAUUCUCGAACUCCGAACGGGCAAGGAGCCCGGGGUCGCCCCGAUCGGACCCCGGACGUGAAUUCGACGAUGGUCGGUGGGCUGGUUUUGGUAAGCAGAACGGGGCGAUUCGGGGAUGAACCGGAAAGCGGGGAGAAAGGGCCCGAGAUUGCGUCGACGCGGAUCCCGAAAAGGGCGUCGAUCCGUCGCGACAGCGGGACGGUGGUCAUGGAAGUCGAAAUCCGCUAAGAAGCGUGUAAAACGUACCCGCCCAACGGAUCGGCCCCGAAAAUUGAUGGCGCUCGAACGCAACCCUCGAACCCCGCCGACGGAGGCUAGGGGAGGCCCCGUCGAGUAGGCGGACGCGCGGGUCGCUUCGACGCUCUCGCGCGAGCGGGGGGCGGAGCGGCCCGUGGUGC
rnacentral:rRNA from 1 species